rnacentral:piRNA from 1 species
UGAAGAUUCUGGAAACNGCUCUGCCGCGA